UACAGAGGAGCCAAGCGUUGUCCGGAUUGACUGGGCGUAAAGCGCACGCAGGCGGUUGCGCGCGUGGGGUGUGAAAUCUGGCCGCUUAACGGCCAGGCGCCAUCCCAUACGGCGCGACUGGAGUGAUGCAGAGGUCGAUGGAAUUGCCGGUGUAGUGGUGAAAUGCGUAGAUAUCUGGAGGAACACCGGUGGCGAAGGCGGCAUCCUGGACCGGCAUUGACGCUGAGGCGCGAAAGCCAGGGGAGCAAACGGG
rnacentral:rRNA from 1 species